AUUGAACGCUGGCGGCAGGCCUAACACAUGCAAGUCGAGCGAGCGGCGGACGGGGGAGUAAUGUAUGGGGACUGCCCGAUAGAGGGGGAUAACUACUGGAAAAGGUGUCUAAUACCGCAUACCGUCGGCUAACACAUAUGGGAUUAGCUAGUAGGUAAGGUAAUGGCUUACCUAGGCGACGAUCCCUAGCUGGUCUGAGAGGAUGAUCAGCCACACUGGGACUGAGACAUGGCCCAGACUCCUACGGAGGCAGCAGUGGGGAAGAUUGCACAAUGGGCGCAAGCCUGAUGCAGCCAGGCCGCGUGUAUGAAGAAGGCCCUAGGGUUGUAAAGUACUUUCAGUCGGGAGGCGUUACCGACAGAAGAAGCACCGGCUAACUCCGUGCCAGCAGCCGCGGUAAUUC
rnacentral:rRNA from 1 species